rnacentral:rRNA from 1 species
GACGAACGCUGGCGGCGUGCCUAAUACAUGCAAGUAGAACGCUGAAGGAGGAGCUUGCUUCUCUGGAUGAGUUGCGAACGGGUGAGUAACGCGUAGGUAACCUGCCUGGUAGCGGGGGAUAACUAUUGGAAACGAUAGCUAAUACCGCAUAAGAGUAGAUGUUGCAUGACAUUUGCUUAAAAGGUGCAAUUGCAUCACUACCAGAUGGACCUGCGUUGUAUUAGCUAGUUGGUGGGGUAACGGCUCACCAAGGCGACGAUACAUAGCCGACCUGAGAGGGUGAUCGGCCACACUGGGACUGAGACACGGCCCAGACUCCUACGGGAGGCAGCAGUAGGGAAUCUUCGGCAAUGGACGGAAGUCUGACCGAGCAACGCCGCGGGAGGGAAGAAGGUUUUCGGAUCGUAAAGCUCGGUUGUAAGAGAAGAACGAGUGUGAGAGUGGAAAGUUCACAAUGUGACGGUAUCUUACCAGAAAGGGACGGCUAACUACGUG